rnacentral:lncRNA from 1 species
CUUUGAUCAUUGUUGAAGGCCGUACGGUGACCUAUAAUUGUUAAUUUCUGUGUCAUUUUGACCUCUUGUGGAGAGUUGUCUCUUUAGCAGUCAUACCACAUCUUCUUUUUUAUAAGUAGUCGAACUGCUGUAUCACUAGCAUGUCAACACUUAGGUGUGCGAUUUCAAAUCCCGCACGUGGCAGGUAAGCUCGAUUCCAAUCUUAAUUGACCAGAAUUGUCUGUUUUCCAAACGAAGGUCAGGGGGUCUCUCCGGGCACUUCUGCUUUCUCCACCAAUAUAAACUCACCGCCACGAAAUAGCAUGAAAGUGUUGAAAGUGGCGCUAAAUAACAGUCAAUCAAUCAUCCAUACCGGUAUACUUAUGGCCUCUAAAUCUAUAUAUUUAGUCUCACAAAGUCAAUGUAUGACAUCAGUAUACAGAGAUAAAAAUAAUAACUAUUUACAGUAUAUACAAAACAAGAGAGAGAGGUUUCAAAAUUACUAAGCCAGCUGGAGGACAAACGCAC